GUAAAAUGGUGUCAAAACUUCUCCCACUUGAGGAAUCCUUGUAUGUUCAAGGAUGUGAUCAAUCUUUGAAAACCAGCGUUCUAGUUCCAGUGGCUGUAGAUUAAAUUCUUGAUUACCCUUCCCUUCAAAUCCAAUAAAAAUGAAAUUCACAGGUACCGGAAGGUACAUGGAAUCAACUUCCAGAAGCUUUAAAUAAUUUGCUAUAUUACCUGCCUGGGUGUAAUUGAGAACACUCAAUUUUUCCGGUUUAGAUGCUUCCAGAUCAUCAAAAUCACCACCAUGAAUAACAGACUCGCUCCAGAAUUUGCUUCUAUCUUUAAGGUUAAAUAACGAAAAUACCGAUGACUUCCCUGUUUUACGAUUUCCACCCGUAGAACCAAGUGAACUAUGACUCAGCAACAAAAUGAAGAGGAACAGUAAAGAGGAGGAGCGAGCCAAGUGAGGACGCAACAUGACUGGAGCCUCCAGAUCUUCAAGGGAGAUGAAUAGGAAAUUCAAGGGGAAAGAUUCAUCAACUGUGAUGGGGGAGAGUGGAGACUCCAGUCAUG
rnacentral:misc_RNA from 1 species